UACGUAGGUGGCAAGCGUUGUCCGGAUUUACUGGGCGUAAAGGGCGCGUAGGCGGUUCGUUAAGUCCUGUGUGAAAUCCCCCGGCUCAACUGGGGAACUGCACAGGAAACUAGCGGGCUUGAGUCCGGAAGAGGAGAGUGGAAUUCCCGGUGUAGCGGUGAAAUGCGCAGAUAUCGGGAAGAACACCCGUGGCUAAGGCGGCUCUCUAGUACGGUACUGACGCUGAGACGCGAAAGCGUGGGGAGCGAACAGG
rnacentral:rRNA from 1 species